UACAGAGGUCUCGAGCGUUGUUCGGAUUCAUUGGGCGUAAAGGGCGCGUAGGCGGCGGGGUAAGUCUGGUGUGAAAUCUCGGAGCUCAACUCCGAAACUGCACUGGAUACUGCUCUGCUAGAGGGCUGGAGAGGAGGUCGGAAUUCACGGUGUAGCAGUGAAAUGCGUAGAUAUCGUGAGGAAGACCAGUGGCGAAGGCGGAUCUCUGGACAGCUCCUGACGCUGAGGCGCGAAGGCUAGGGGAGCAAACGGG
rnacentral:rRNA from 1 species